UCAGACCUCAAUCAGGCAGGACUACCCGCUGAACUUAAGCAUAUCAAUAAGCGGAGGAAAAGAAACUAACAAGGAUUCCCCUAGUAACUGCGAGUGAAGYGGGAAGAGCUCAAMUUUAAAAUCUGGCAGUCUUGCUGUCCGAGUUGUAAUCUGGAGAAGCAUUUUCCGCGUCAGACCGUGUACAAGUCUCUUGGAAUAGAGCGUCAUUGAGGGUGAUAAUCCCGUUCAUGACACGGACUACUGAUGCUUUGUGAUAUGCUUUCAAAGAGUCGAGUUGUUUGGGAAUGCAGCUCAAAUUGGGUGGUAAGUUCCAUCUAAAGCUAAAUAUUGGCGAGAGACCGAUAGCGAACAAGUACCGUGAGGGAAAGAUGAAAAGCACUUUGAAAAGAGAGUUAAACAGUACGUGAAAUUGUUGAAAGGGAAACGCUUGAAGUCAKUCGCKUUGAUUGAGACUCASCUUGCUGKGCUGGGUGUACUUCUCAUUUGACGGGUCAACAUCAAUUUUGGUUGAUGGAUAAAGGUGAGGGGAAUGUGGCACCUUCGGGUGUGUUAUAGCCCCUUGCUGCAUACAUUGACUGGGAUUGAGGAACGCAGCACGCCUUCAUGGCGGAGGGUUCGCCCUACGUAACGUGCUUAGGAUGUUGGCAUAAUGGCUUUAAGCGACCCGUCUUGAAACACGGACCAAGGAGUCUAACAUGCUUGCGAGUGUUAGGGUGGAAAACCCUUGCGCGUAAUUAAAGUGAAAGUUGGGACCCUCUCAAGGGGCACCGACGCCCGGCCCUGAAGUUUACUGACGGUGCUGCGGUAGAGCACGUAUGUUGGGACCCGAAAGAUGGUGAACUAUGCCUGAAUAGGGUGAAGCCAGGGGAAACCCUGGUGGAGGCUCGUAGCGAUUCUGACGUGCAAAUCGAUCGUCAAAUUUGGGUAUAGGGGCGAAAGACUAAUCGAACCAUCUAGUAGCUGGGUUCCUGCCGAAGUUUCCCUCAGGAUAGCAGARACUCAUAUCAGAUUUAUGUGGUAAAGCGAAUGAUUAGAGGCCUUGGGGUUGAAACAACCUUAACCUAUUCUCAAACUUUAAAUAUGUAAGAACAMGCCGUCUCUUAGUUGGACCGCUUGACGAUUGAGAGUUUCUAGUGGGCCAUUUUUUGGGUAAGCAGAACUGGCGAUGCGGGAUGCAACCGAACGUGAKGUUAAGGUGCCGGAAUGCACGCUCAUCAGACACCACAAAAGGGUGGUUAGAUUCAUUUUAGACAGCACGACGGGUGGGCCAUCGAAGUCGGGACCCGCCUAAGGAGUGUGUAACAACUCACCUGCCGAAUGAACUAGCCCUGAAAUGGAUGGCGGCCAACGUGCUACCCAUAACUCACGUCAGGGUGAARUGAUGCGU
rnacentral:rRNA from 1 species